rnacentral:tRNA from 1 species
GCCUCUAUGGCGCAGUGGUAACGCGUAAGUACGAAAUAAUCUGUCAACCAUCUAAACUCACUAAUUUAGGUCGCACUUGUAAUGCGAAGAUCUUCAGUUCAAUUCUGAAUGGAGGCA